rnacentral:lncRNA from 1 species
AACGGGAGGAGCACGGUGUGGCUGAGUCUUCCCGGAAAAGUGGCCGCGCGCGGACGUCGGCCCGCGCCUCUGUUCCCCAGAGGUUUCCAGGCGUCCUCUGACCGGAUCCCAGUGACGUCGUGCGAGGGGCAGGGCUGGACUGCGGGUUCCGCGCGCUUCAAUUUAAAGUCACGUUUGGGACGCUUUGCAGACUGAAUCGUCAAGAGAAAAUGGUUCUUGGGACGAUACCUCCACCUUCCAGUCUGAUCAGUGGCAGCUUUACUCUUUUGGCUAUCAAGCGGGCGGACCAGUGAACUCGGGGUUGCUUGUCCCUGAGCCACACCGGGGAGUGGAAUCGUCAGAGUAUCUCAAGAUGUGGCAGGAGUUUCACAAGUAAAAGGACGCUGAGGAAGAAAGAUGCAGCUUUUGGAAAAAGGAGAGAAAUAGGCAGUCAAGACCAGGAAAUGAAGAUGUUGUGACCUCUUUUGAAAUAAAGAUCAAUGCGUGUUUGCA